rnacentral:misc_RNA from 1 species
GAUGAAGAACGUAGCGAAAUGCGAUACGUAAUGUGAAUUGCAGAAUUCAGUGAAUCAUCGAAUCUUUGAACGCAUAUUGCGCUCUCUGGUAUUCCGGAGAGCAUGCUUGUUUGAGUAUCAGUAAACACCUCAACUCCCUUUCUUCUUGAAAUGGAGCUGGACUUGAGUGAUCCCAACGCUUUAUUCAUAAAGUGGCGGGUUACUUGAAAUGCAGGUGCAGCUGGACUUUUCUCUGAGCUAUAAGCAUAUCUAUUUAGUCUGCCUCAAAACAGAUUAUUACCUUUGCUGCAGCUAACAUAAAGGAGAUUAGUUCUUGUGCUGACUGAUGCAGGAUUCACAAAGACCGCUUCGGCUGUCUUUGUAAACUCGAUCUCAAAUCAAGUAAGACUACCCGCUGAACUUAAGCAUAUCAAUAAGCGGAGG